rnacentral:rRNA from 1 species
GUUAAAGCUCGUAGUUGAACCUUGGGCCUGGCUGGCCGGUCCGCCCCACCGCGNGCACUGGUCCGGCCGGGCCUUUCCUUCUGGGGAGCCGCAUGCCCUUCACUGGGUGUGUCGGGGAACCAGGACUUUUACUUUGAAAAAAUUAGAGUGUUCAAAGCAGGCCUAUGCUCGAAUACAUUAGCAUGGAAUAAUAGAAUAGGACGUGUGGUUCUAUUUUGUUGGUUUCUAGGACCGCCGUAAUGAUUAAUAGGGAUAGUCGGGGGCAUCAGUAUUCAAUUGUCAGAGGUGAAAUUCUUGGAUUUAUUGAAGACUAACUACUGCGAAAGCAUUUGCCAAGGAUGUUUUCAUUAAUCAGUGAACGAAAGUUAGGGGAUCGAAGACGAUCAGAUACCGUCGUAGUCUUAACCAUAAACUAUGCCGACUAGGGAUCGGGCGAUGUUAUUUUUUGACUCGCUCGGCACCUUACGAGAAAUCAAAGUUUUUGGGUUCUGGGGGGAGUAUGGUCGCAAGGCUGAAACUUAAAGAAAUUGACGGAAGGGCACCACCAGGAGUGGAGCCUGCGGCUUAAUUUGACUCAACACGGGGAAACUCACCAGGUCCAGACACAAUAAGGAUUGACAGAUUGAGAGCUCUUUCUUGAUUUUGUGGGUGGUGGUGCAUGGCCGUUCUUAGUUGGUGGAGUGAUUUGUCUGCUUAAUUGCGAUAACGAACGAGACCUUAACCUGCUAAAUANCCAGGCUAGCUUUGGCUGGUCGCCGGCUUCUUAGAGGGACUAUCGGCUCAAGCCGAUGGAGUUUGANGCANUAACAGGUCUGUGAUGCCCUUANAUGUUCUGGGCCGCACGCGCGCUCCACUGACAGANCCAACGAGUUCAUCACCUUGGCCGAAANGUCUGGGUAAUCUUGUUAAACUCUG